rnacentral:rRNA from 1 species
UUGGGAAUCUUGGACAAUGGGGGAAACCCUGAUCCAGCCAUGCCGCGUGAGUGAUGAAGGCCUUCGGGUUGUAAAGCUCUUUUACCCGGGAAGAUAAUGACUGUACCGGGAGAAUAAGCUCCGGCUAACUUCGUGCCAGCAGCCGCGGUAAUACGAAGGGGGCUAGCGUUGUUCGGAAUUACUGGGCGUAAAGCGCGCGCAGGCGGUUUCUCAAGUCAGUGGUGAAAGCCCGGAGCUCAACUCCGGAACUGCCAUUGAAACUGUGAGACUUGAGGACGAGAGAGGUGAGUGGAAUUCCCAGUGUAGAGGUGAAAUUCGUAGAUAUUGGGAAGAACACCGGUGGCGAAGGCGGCUCACUGGCUCGUUUCUGACGCUCAGGCGCGACAGCGUGGGGAUCAAACAGGAUUAGAUACCCCCGUAGUCC